CUGAGUCUGACAUAGCUCCGUCCAAAGUUUGGGGAACAGUGCAAGAUGAAGUGGCAAGCCUUCAUAGGCAACCAGGACACCUAGUGUUUGAAACAGAACAUCAGAACAGGUUAUAAUUGUAAGUUCUACUGACGAGUGACUGAACUGAAGGUACAAUACUGUUAGCUAUCUCUGGUUUUGACUGCAUCAUUACAAGAGAACUCAUUACAAUGUUUUAAGCAGUACAGAAAUUGAGAAUAUGGAAUUGUGAAUUUAUUUCUAUACCCUAUACCUCAUCCCCAGAAGGAUCUAAGACAAUAAUUUCAACCAGCUCUUAUUUUUGAGUACUGGGACUUAACUAGGAAGAUUAAAGUCACUGUGAGGGGUUUUCAAAGUUUUCUUGGAUUAAGGAAAUACUCUGUACAUUAGAAAAUUUCCCAGGCUUGCUACAUUUCAGAAGGGUGGGAGAGAAGGUGAGAACUAUGUUCUAGAGCAUUCCAUUUCUCCCCCUUUUGUUUUCUCUGUGUGUACUGAAGUAAACACUGUUGAGUCUACUACUGUCUCCUUGCUUUGUCCUCAGGACCUUCUGGGUAGAUCAGAUUUGGUACUGUUGGGACUCUGUGUGCACGUGCUUGUAUUCGUAUGUGUUUUCCUGGGGUCUGAAACCAGGGGCUCGGUAAGCUAGGUAAGCACUUUACCACUGAGCUACAGCCCAAGUCCUGAAACCCCUAAUUUAACCUCUUGUAGCCGUCAAUACAUUUCCCUAUGCUCCUCCUCUCCUCCACCCCCUCUGCCUCUCUUACAGAAGCUGCAAUGUCAGCUUCCUCCAUAAAUGUACUACUUCUACAUCUCUCCACCUUCAGGAAAAAUAUAACCACAGAGGAGAAAUAGAAUAUAAGCUAUCUUCCAGUUAAACAAAAAGUAUGGGCUGGGUCGGGAGAAGACAAGAUUUUCUGUAGUGAGCAGACACUAAAUAUAGGCCUGUGGCCAUCCGAUGCCCACUGCAGCUACUCAAGGCUGUGAAGGCAAUGCCAAAGUGGCAAGGACAGGAGCAAACGACUAAGGUCUGCUGGCUGCAAGUAAAACCUAACAAGUAUUAAAAUUUAAAUCACAAUUUUCGUGUGUCAUAAAACUAAUUUUCUUAGUAUAUAUAGUAUAUAAAUAUGAAGCCUACUUUUAGUAGGUAGCUGCUGGCUUUUUAAGAACUACUAGUAGGUAGGUUGUAGUUUGCCACUUCUUGGGUUAGGCCAAGGCUUUGAGACCUUUAAACAGCAAAUCACACACUUAAGGCUCUCUUUCAGAAUUAAGCCUAUUAGUCCCCUGUAAUGACAAGACAUUUCUUGUCCUUCCUUUAUUCUAAGCUAAUCUGGAUGGAGCUGGAAGCAUUUAUCAAUCAUAGCACAUAUACACAGACAAGCCAUCAAAGUGUGGCUACAGGGAAUGGUUUCUAUAGUCACAUACUCUUUCACUGUAACUGGUCAUAAGGGUUGGCAAAAUGUGACCCUCGGGCCAAGUCUGACCCACCUGUAUUAGGGUUGGGUGAGUCAGGAAUGGCUUUUAUCUUUGAUUCCACUCUGACACAUGGCCUGAGCUGGUCUUGGAACCCACAAUCCUCUUGUCUCUGACUCAGAAGCGUGGGAUUACAGGUGUACAGCUCCUAGACCUGGAAGCUUUGACGUUUUUAAGGACUGAUGACCUAGAACCCAUGGCCUGCAGAGCCUGUCACUAACGUCCAGCUCUCCACUCUGCCGGUCAGUGUCCAGACUGUGGCUCAGUAUCAACUCUCAUGGCAAGUCUGUAUUACCACUCAAGUUUUCAUUAACUGUUUCUUUCUUCAAAAAUUGUUCCUCAAAGUAAAACAAUCCUCCUUACUUUUCAACAGCUACAAAAAGCCAGCAUCAAUCACUACAACAAACCAACCCUGCAGACAUCUCUUAUGCUAUAAAAUCACCUUUGAAAACAAGAAGGAAAGGAACAUUUAUUGGCACCUACUACUGUAUUAGGUUAUGGAGAAUGUGCUGGCCUGACUCUGGAAUUUAGACACCCAUUUCAAUUCUUCUGGAGAUGAAAAAACUGGCAAGCAGUUUAAGAUUUAAGUUUGUUUCACAUGUGAUUACUAUGUGUAGCAUGUAUGGAUUUGCUCCUGGUGGACUGGUAAAGCUAGCUUUGGAUCUGCAUUAGAUGUCAGGGAUGGUCUGAAAUAUAGUCACUCUUUGAAGGGAAAACAGCCAUUUUCAAGUCUCCCUAAAAAGAAGCAGGAAUCAGAGUGUGCUUUCUAUAUGAAUACCAUGAAUUUGUAUAUGUUUAAUUUAGCCAAUGAAAGAAAUCCAUUUUAGGGGCUGGAGAGAUGGCUUGACAGUUCAGAGCACGCACUGCUCUCACAGAGGACCAGGGGUCUGAGUCCCAGGAUGAGUGUGGUGGCUCACAGCACCUGUAACUCUGGUCCCAGGGCUCUGUCUUCUGGCUCCUCCAGGCACCAGAAACACAAUGGUACACAGACAUGUGGAGGCAAACAUUCACACUCUUACGAUAAAUCAAUCUUUAAUAAAUGUGUAGCAAUGUGUUAAGGCACGCUCCUAUAAUCCCAGCACUACUGAAGCAGCAACAAGUGGAUCUCUGUGAGAUGCCAGCCCAUCUACCCUGAAUUAGACAGCCAGAGCUAUACAGUGUUGCUUUGUUUUUUAAGUAUAUGUUACUUGCAAAGAAUUUUCUUCUUUAACACAUUCAGAAAAAUUUCAUAAAUAAUGUUAAAUGCUAAAAAGGUACAAGACCCUUGUUUUGUCACUGAAAAUGAAAAUUUAAAUGAUGAUGAUGAUGAAACAACAAUUUAUUUAACUUUUAUCCAAGCAUCCUAUUAUUUAUUUUGCUCAUAAAUUUUGGGACGUAAAGUGAUUAAUUAUAGUUUGCCAAAACCAUUUUCCACGCUACUUAAAAAAAUUCUAAUCAUAAGCUGGGCAAGGUCAAGAAUACCUUUAAUACCUGCACUAAGAAAGCAAUAGAAAACAGAUCUCUGAGUUAGAGGCCAGUCUGAUCUACAGUGUAAGGAGUCAGGGCUACAUAGAGAUACCAUAUGUCAACAAAUAAAACAAAAACAUUGCAUGAUCAUUAUUAUAAUUUCACCCUUACAAAUGUAUUUAACUUAGAAAACAAAAGCACCCCAUGAUUUCAUCCUUAUGCAAUGACAGUAUUAUUCACUUGUUUUUGUUUAUUUUUAGACAGGAUCUCACUAUGUAGCUCUGGCUGUCCUAGAACUCACUAUGUAAACCAGGCGGGCUUUGAACUCAGAGUCUCUGUUUAUCAAGCGCUAGAAUUAAAGGUGUGCACAACCACUCUUAGCCUUAUGCCUGUUACUAAGGAUGAUAAUUCCACUCCUUUGUAAGAAUGUGGUUUUAAUCUCUGUAUUACUUGUUCACCCUGAGUGCUAGGGAUUGAACCCAAUACCUGGGUUUACUGCUGGAUCAAUACAUACCUUUCAAGUCUAUUUUCUAUAUAACUCAAGGAAUGUUAUCUAGUUUGUUUUGAAGAUUAUAUAAUACAAAUGAAAUGUCUUACUAAAAUAUGCUCUUAUUGAUGGACAUUUUUGUUUUCAAUUCCCCACACUGUGAAUGAAGUGAAAAUAAACAGCCUCUGUAUGUUGUCCUACACUGUUACAAAUAGAAUAAAUUUCUGCUUCUGCUA